rnacentral:snoRNA from 1 species
GUCUUUUUAUAGUUCACAAGUGUGAUGAUUGAGUAUCCACACUGUUUUGUGAUGUGCCUCCUUCAAGCCUUGUUACGACUACAACAUAUUACCCAUCUGACG